rnacentral:rRNA from 17 species
CCUGGUGGUCAUGGCGGGGCACCUGCACCCGUUCCCAUUCCGAACACGGCCGUGAAAUGCCCCUGCGCCUAUGGUACUCCGUCUUAAGACGCGGGAGAGUCGGUCGCUGCCAGGU